GACGAACGCUGGCGGCGUGCCUAACACAUGCAAGUCGAACGGAGAAACCCUGCGGGGUCGAUCAGUGGGGUACGGGCGGGUGAGACGUGAGCAAGUUGCUCCCGGCUCUGGGACAAUCACUUGAAACGGUGGCUAAUAACGGAUACGACCCGCCUCGGCAGCACGGGUGGGUGGAAAGGUGUUCGGCGGGGGCUGGGCGCCUGGUCUAUCAGCUCGUUGGGGAGGUGCAAGCUCACCAAGGGGCCGACGGCUAGCCCGCCUGGGAGGUCGAGCGGCGACACGGCGACUGAGACAGGGCGCAGACGCGUACGGGAGGCAGCGGUGGAGAGUAUGGCACAGUGGGCGCGCGCCUGAUGCAGCGACGCCGCGUGCGUGAUGACGGCUUUCGGGUUGUAAACCUCUUUCAGCUCCGAAGAAGCGAUAGUGACGGUAGCAGCAGAAGAAGCACCGGCUAACUACGUG
rnacentral:rRNA from 1 species